UGAUUGCUUCAGUUUCCUUCACCUCUUCUGCUUGCAGGUCACUUGCUGAUCUAUUUUCUUCCACCUCAACAGGUUCAGUAUUUUUGAUCUCUUCUGGUUCUGGCUCCUGUGCUUGUGGUAUGUCAACUGUUCUCUCAGCUACUGUUACGUGCUCUGCAUGAGGUUCCUCAUCUGCAAGAACAAUAUUGCUUUUCACAUCCUCAUUGAGCUCGCUGAUGUUUGCAUCAGUCCUUCCGCUGAUUGCUUCAGUUUCCUUGGGUUCAAUUUCCUUGACCUCUUCUGCUGACAGGUCACCUGCUUCAGUAUUCUUGAUCUCUUCUAGCUCCGGUUCUUGUGCUUGUGGUAUAUCGACUGUUGUCUUAGCUACUGUUACAUGUUCUUCAUGAGCUGCCUCACCUAUAAGAGCAACGUUGCUUUCCAUAUCUUCAGUGAGCUCACUGAUGUUUGCAUCAGUGCUCUCGUUGAUUGCUUCAGUUUCCUUGGCUUCAGUGUCCUUCACCGCUUCUGCCGGCAUGUCACUCACUGAUGUGUUUUCUUCCACCUCAACAGGUUCAACAUUCUCAAUCUCUUCUAGUUCUGGCUCUUGUGCUCGCGGAAUAUCAACCGUUGCCUCAGUUGCUGUUACAUGCUCUUCAGGAGCUGCCUCGUCUACAUGAGUAACAUUGCUUGUCACAUCGCCAGUGAGCUCGCUGAUGUUUGCAUCAGUGCUCUCGUUAAUUGCUUCAGUUUCCUUCACCUCUUCCGCUGGCAGGUCACAUGCUGAUCUGUUUUCUUUCACCUCAUCAGGUUCAACUCUCAUGAGCUCUUGUAGUUCUGAUACUAGUGCUUGUGGUAUAUCAACUGCUGCCUCAGCUGCUAUUACAUGCUCUUCUGGAGCUGCCUCAUCUGCACGAGUAACAUUACUUUUCACAUCCUCAGUGAGUUCACUGAUGUUUGCAUCAGCGCUCUCGGUUAUUGCUUCUGUUUCUUUGGCUUCAGGGUCCUUCACCUCUUCUGCCGGCUGAUCACUUACUGAUAUGUUUUCUUCCACUUCAACAGUUUCAGUAUUCUUGAUUUCUUCUAGUUCUGGAUCUUGUGCUUGUGGUAUGUCAACUGUUGCCUCAGUUGCUAUCACAUGUUCUUCAGGAGCUGCCUCGUCUGCAGGAGCAACAUUAGUUUUGACAUCCUCAGUGAGCUCACUGAUGUUCGCAUCAGUGCUCUCAUUGAUUGCUUCAGUGUCUUUCACCUUUUCUGCCUGCAUGUCACUUGCUGACAUGUUUUCUUCCACAUCAACAGGUUCAGUAUUCUUGAUCUCUUCUAGUUCCGGCUCCUGUGGUUGUGGUAUAUCAACUGCUGUCUCAGCUACUGUUACAUGCUCUUCAUGAGGUUCCUCGUCUGCAAGAGCAACAUUGCAUUUCACCUCCUCUGUGAGCUCGCUGAUGUUUGCAUCAGCACUCUCGUUGAUUGCUUCAGUGUCCUUCACCUCUUCUGCUGGCAGGUCACUUGCUGAUAUGUUCUCUUCUACUUCAACAGGUUCAGUAUUCUUCAUCUCUUCUACUUCUGGCUCUUGUGCUUGUGGCAUAUCAACUGUAUUAUCAGCUACUGUUACUUGUUCUUCUUGAGCGGCCUCGCCUGGAAGAGCAACAUUGUUUUUCACAUCUUCAGGGAGCUCACUGUUGUUUGCAUCAGUGCUCUCGUUGAUUGCUUCAGUCUCCACGGCUUCAGUAUCCUUCACCUCUUCUGCUGGCAGAUCAUUUGCUGAUAUGUUUUCUUCUACUUCAGCAGGUUCAGUACUCUUGGUCUCUUCUAGUUCUGGCUCUUGUGCUUCUGGUAUAUCAACCGUUGCCUCAGUUGCUAUUACAUGCUCUUCAGGAGCUGCCUCGUCCGCAGGAGCAACAUUGCUUGUCACAUCCUCAGUGAGCUCGCUAAUGUUUGCAUCAGGGCUCUCAUUGAUUGCUUCAGUUUCCCUCACCUCUUCUGCUUGCAGGUAACGUGCUGAUCUAUUUUCUUCCACCUCAACAGGUUCAGUAUUCUUGAUCUCUUCUAGUUCUGGCUCCUGGGUUUGUGGUAUGUCAACUGUUCUCUCAGCUACUGUUACCUGCUCUGCAUGAGGUUCCUCGUCUGCAAGAGCAACAUUGCUUUUUACAUCCUCAUUGAGCUCG
rnacentral:lncRNA from 1 species